rnacentral:snoRNA from 1 species
UAUGAUGAUACGCCAGCUGGCACCAGUCAUAGAGUGAUUUGUACUCCCUUCAUUGAUGACAAACGCUG